rnacentral:rRNA from 1 species
UACGUAGGGUGCAGGCGUUAAUCGGAAUUACUGGGCGUAAAGCGUGCGCAGGCGGUUUGCUAAGACAGGUGUGAAAUCCCCGGGCUUAACCUGGGAACUGCGCUUGUAACUGGCAAGCUAGAGUGUGGCAGAGGGGGGUGGAAUUCCACGUGUGAGCAGUGAAAUGCGUAGAGAGUGUGGAGGAACACCGAUGGCGAAGGCAGCCCCCUGGGCGUAACACUGACGCUCAUGCACGAAAGCGUGGGGAGCAAACAGG